rnacentral:lncRNA from 1 species
GAUGGACUUGGGCUGGAGUGAGGGGCUGCUAGAUCCCUUUGUCUUUGCUAACAACAGGUGGGUUAGCAGUGCUCCAGAAGGACCUCCUGUGCCUGGGUACAUCUGUGUGCUCUCCCAGUGUCCUCUUCACAGCUGCAGACAAGUAGAAGUUGGCCACCAGGCCCACCAGGCUGUUACAGCUUCCUUCCUCGCCAGUGAGUCCUGUAAGAAGCACUGGGGCAGAUCUUCCAAGGGCCCGCAGGAGCCCGUGGCCUCCGCUCCACAGCACGGCAGUAUUGCUGCGAGGGCCCCAUUCUCAUUACAAUGAGUGCAAGCUGGAG